rnacentral:rRNA from 1 species
AUGAAAAUGAUCAGCUGAAACUGUAGAGGGCUGGGUCUGCCUCGUACAGUUCAAGAAUUAGUGUGCAUUAAUAAGUCUUACCGACCCAACAUCAUUUUCCUUUCAGAAACUAGAAAGAAUAAAGAUUAUGUUGAGAGUUUGCGGUAUCGUUUGGGUAUGAAAAAUGUAUUUACUGUUUCGGGGAAAGGCAAAGGUGGUGGUUUAGCGAUAUUUUGGGAUGAGUGUUUCUCUGUGGAAUUAAAUAAAUUUGGUGACCAUUUUAUUGAUCUAUACAUAUGUAAGGGUGAUGGACCAAGAUGGAGAUGCACAUGUGUGUACGGGGAGCCAAAGGUACGUCAUGUGGGAGCUUUUGAGAUGAGUUAA